UAGACCGACGCCAAGGUGCCCGAUUCCCAGGCCGCCCACGAGAAGUCCAUCACCUCUCUGCUCCCCGCAAUGUCCGGUGCGAACUCCAUCUACGGAUCC
rnacentral:ncRNA from 1 species